rnacentral:rRNA from 1 species
GACGAACGCUGGCGGCGUGCCUAACACAUGCAAGUCCACGAGAAAGCGGUAGCAAUACUGCCGGUAAAGUGGCGAACGGGCGAGUAACACGUAGGUAACUUGCCCUUGGGACUGGAAUAACCUCGAGAAAUCUGGGCUAAUACCGGAUAAUGCAGCGGACCCGCAUGGGUAUGUUGUUAAAGUGGUCUUGGCUUGCCAAGUUCACACCUAAGGAUGGACCUGCGUCCCAUUAGCUAGNGGUGAGGUAACGGCUCACCAAGGCGACGAUGGGUAGCCGGCCUGAGAGGGUGUCCGGCCACACUGGGACUGAGAUACGGCCCAGACUCCUACGGGAGGCAGCAGUGAGGAAUAUUGGUCAAUGGCCGAAAGGCUGAACCAGCAACGCCGCGUGAGGGAUGAAGAUCUAAGGAUCGUAAACCUCUGUUAGAAGGGACGAAUAACCCCAUGGUGAAUAAUCAUGGGGCCUGACGGUACCUUCAGAGAAACGCCCGGCUAACUCCGUGCCAGCAGCC